CUACACAUGCAAGUCGAGCGGAUGAGAGGAGCUUGCUCCUGGAUUCAGCGGCGGACGGGUGAGUAAUGCCUAGGAAUCUGCCUGGUAGUGGGGGACAACGUUUCGAAAGGAACGCUAAUACCGCAUACGUCCUACGGGAGAAAGCAGGGGACCUUCGGGCCUUGCGCUAUCAGAUGAGCCUAGGUCGGAUUAGCUAGUUGGUGAGGUAAUGGCUCACCAAGGCGACGAUCCGUAACUGGUCUGAGAGGAUGAUCAGUCACACUGGAACUGAGACACGGUCCAGACUCCUACGGGAGGCAGCAGUGGGGAAUAUUGGACAAUGGGCGAAAGCCUGAUCCAGCCAUGCCGCGUGUGUGAAGAAGGUCUUCGGAUUGUAAAGCACUUUAAGUUGGGAGGAAGGGCAUUAACCUAAUACGUUAGUGUUUUGACGUUACCGACAGAAUAAGCACCGGCUAACUCUGUGCCAGCAGCCGCGGUAAUACAGAGGGUGCAAGCGUUAAUCGGAAUUACUGGGCGUAAAGCGCGCGUAGGUGGUUUGUUAAGUUGGAUGUGAAAUCCCCGGGCUCAACCUGGGAACUGCAUUCAAAACUGACAAGCUAGAGUAUGGUAGAGGGUGGUGGAAUUUCCUGUGUAGCGGUGAAAUGCGUAGAUAUAGGAAGGAACACCAGUGGCGAAGGCGACCACCU
rnacentral:rRNA from 1 species